rnacentral:rRNA from 1 species
CGAUCGGGAAUGUGGCGUUAAGGAGGAUCCGCAACUCCCGACGUCGCGGUAGCGGUGCGUCCAAGUCCUUCUUGAAAGAGGCCGAACCACCCACAGAGGGUGCCAGGCCCGUAGGACCGCCGCCCGGCGUCGGGUCGGAUCUCUCCCUAGAGUCGGGUUGCUCGAGAUUGCAGCCCUAAGCAGGUGGUAAACUCCAUCUAAGGCUAAAUACGACCACGAGACCGAUAGCGAACAAGUACCGCGAGGGAAAGUUGAAAAGAACUUUGAAGAGAGAGUUCAAGAGUACGUGAAACCGUUCGGGGGUAAACCUGAGAAACCCGAAAGAUCGAAAGCCGAGAUACAGCGUCCGUCGCCGCGGGGGCAGCGGCGACGGCGUGCACUUCUCGGCCGGUAGGACGUCGCGACCCGUUGGGAGUCGCCGACGCGUAACGGGGUCGCGCGGGAAGCUCGAGGUGGCGCGGCGGGACUCGUUCCCGUCGUAUUUGCGUAGCUCCUCGAACCCGUCGCGACUUCAGGCGUUCGGCGCGCCCGACGCGACAUUCAAAGACAGAACGAGGCGUUCGUUCGGCGGUGCGCAUUGGCGGCGCGCCCGGCUACGUCACGGCGUUCGCGCGCCGUGGCGUACGUUCUCGGGCGUGCGUGCGCGUUCGCGCGUGCGCACACCGACGUCCGAUCGUCAGCGACGCUUUUGCUUUGGGCG